CCUACGGGAGGCAGCAGUAAGGAAUAUUGGUCAAUGGGACGAAAGUCUGAACCAGCCAUGCCGCGUGAAGGAUUAAGGCCCUCUGGGUUGUAAACUUCUUUUAUCUGGGACGAAAAAAGGGUAUUCUUACUCACUUGACGGUACCAGAGGAAUAAGCACCGGCUAACUCCGUGCCAGCAGCCGCGGUAAUACGGAGGGUGCAAGCGUUAUCCGGAUUUACUGGGUUUAAAGGGUGCGUAGGUGGGUUUGUAAGUCAGUGGUGAAAUCUCCGAGCUUAACUCGGAAACUGCCAUUGAUACUAUAGAUCUUGAAUUAUCUGGAGGUAAGCGGAAUAUGUCAUGUAGCGGUGAAAUGCUUAGAUAUGACAUAGAACACCAAUUGCGAAGGCAGCUUACUACGGAUAUAUUGACACUGAGGCACGAAAGCGUGGGGAUCAAACAGGAUUAGAUACCCUGGUAGUCCACGCCCUAAACGAUGGAUACUCGACAUCAGCGAUACACUGUUGGUGUCUGAGCGAAAGCAUUAAGUAUCCCACCUGGGAAGUACGAUCGCAAGAUUGAAACUUAAAGGAAUUGACGGNUGAGAGAGCGAGAGACACGAGGGAGGAGG
rnacentral:rRNA from 1 species